CCUACGGGAGGCAGCAGUGAGGAAUUUUGCGCAAUGGGGGCAACCCUGACGCAGCAACGCCGCGUGAGUGAAGAAGGCCUUUGGGUCGUAAAGCUCUGUCAACCGGGAAGAAGUUACGUAUUAUGAACAGUGAUAUGUAUUGACGGUACCGGUGGAGGAAGCGCCGGCUAACUCCGUGCCAGCAGCCGCGGUAACACGGGGGGCGCAAGCGUUAUUCGGAAUUAUUGGGCGUAAAGGGCGCGUAGGCGGUUCUGUCGGUCAGAUGUGAAAGCCCGGGGCUCAACCCUGGAAGUGCAUUUGAAACAGCAGAACUUGAGUACGGGAGAGGAAAGCGGAAUUCCUGGUGUAGAGGUGAAAUUCGUAGAUAUCAGGAGGAACACCGAUGGCGAAGGCAGCUUUCUGGACCGAUACUGACGCUGAGGCGCGAAGGCGUGGGUAGCGAACG
rnacentral:rRNA from 1 species